AUUGAACGCUGGCGGCAGGCCUAACACAUGCAAGUCGAGCGGAUGAAGGGAGCUUGCUCCUGGAUUCAGCGGCGGACGGGUGAGUAAUGCCUAGGAAUCUGCCUGGUAGUGGGGGAUAACGUCCGGAAACGGGCGCUAAUACCGCAUACGUCCUGAGGGAGAAAGUGGGGGAUCUUCGGACCUCACGCUAUCAGAUGAGCCUAGGUCGGUUUAGCUAGUUGGUGGGGUAAAGGCCUACCAAGGCGACGAUCCGUAACUGGUCUGAGAGGAUGAUCAGUCACACGGGAACUGAGACACGGCCCCGACUCCUACGGGAGGCAGCAGUGGAGAAUAUUGGACGAUGGGGGAAAGCCUGAUCCAGCCAUGCCGCGUGUGUGAAGAAGGUCUUCGGCUUGUAAAGCGCUGUAAGUUGGGAGGAAGGACAGUAAGUUAAUACCUUGCUGUUUUGACGUUACCAACAGAAUAAGCACCGGCUAACUUCGUG
rnacentral:rRNA from 1 species